GACUUUUGAAUUAUGUAUUCCUUAGGCAUCUGCUUUUACAUAAAGGCAAACAUUCAACACACAGCUAAAAUCACCAAACCUUCCUUCCAGCUCCACUUUCAGCCUGAAGUUCUUCUUUCUAUUCAUUGGUACAGGUAAUUCCAUUCAACACUUUCCUUUAGCUAGCAAGUUAACCAUGUCAGACAGUAUCCCAUCGGAAGCUGGGUUUUCUCCAGGCAGCAGUCCUGCCCUACAUUACUAUUCUGAGUUUGGUUACUUGACUCAACCACCAUCUCCAUCUCCCUUCCCUAGUUCGUCAUCUGGAAAAAAGUCUGAUUUGCACAGUUGGGACUAAGCCCAAGUUCUUUCAAAAGAGAAGCUGAGGGAUUUUGCAGGUUUAUUUUCCCUUUUUUCCACUUUAGGCAUUCGUUAGGAGGACACUUUUGGACAAGUAUGUGUGGUUGCUAUUCUCCAAAGUGAAGCUGAUUGAAACAUGGUAAAAUGGUUGGUAUUCUGAUAACCUGCCAUGUCAAAUGUAAUGGGCACUUCUAGUGGUUCUUUACUAUAAUUUAUCUUGCCAGUCUCUUAUCUAAAAUAUAUAAUUAAUAAUAGCAAAACAAUGCAACACAUCAUGUUAACAUAAUGAAAAUAAUUAUUCCUUAAAAUAGUUUCAUGCUCAUCAUAGAAUUAUCUGUGAGGAAAAAAAAUGUUUGCAGAGUGCUUAGGUACUGUAUAUUAUGUACAGCAAUCGUAUCUUUAAUGGAAAAGGUAGAAACAGUAAGCAAAUAGCAGUAGCAAUUUGAAUAUAAUGAUAUUGUUAUAUCUAUUACCAAUCACACCAAUAUAAUAAAAGAAAGGAGAAGCACCAUUUCAUAUGAGCAGUUACCUUGCUAUUAGGAAAGCACAAAUGUACUGUAUAGUACUUAGAUUUAUAUGACAUUUAACUUUUUAAAUGAGCAGCAUCCCCUUAACGAGGUAGAUUUGAAGCCAUUAUGAUCCAUUAAAAGAGUAAUAAGUGUCUGAUAGUAGAGUCCCUGACAUCUUUCUAUUAAGAUUUCUUGAUUUGGUCUGUAUCUGGUUUUGUGUUGGUUUUUUUUGAGCUGCAUUAAGCAUGAAUGCUCUUACCACACCAGUGCCCUAACUGUCAGAUUUGUGCUCGUGUUAAUAAGGGUACAUUUUGACAAUACUGAUUUAAAAGGCAAAUCUGAGGGUUAGGGAACUUCAACCUUCAUUUCAGAGAGUCCUUUCCUGGGUUGCUUCUACCCCUCCAGUUAUCCUACUUCGCUGUUUCUGACAAAUAAAGCCUUGUUCACCAUGACCUUUCUUUCUAGGUACAACAAACAGCACUAAACUUUAUUUGGAACUUAUCAUCACUCUUCCUUUACCAGCCAAAUGGGAUGCUGUUGAGUGACAUGGUGGACUCCACAACUACUACUGGGAGAUAUUUCCUGUCUCUCAGCCAAUAUAUUGAGAUUAUCUUGCACUCCUUGUGCAGGACAAAUAGUGCUCUACAGACAGUGGAUUUGCAUGGAUUAUCAGUGGGAACACAGUGUUUGCUGUAUCUUAAACAAGAAGAAAAAAAUGUUUAAAAACUUAACUGUACAAGGCUGAGUACUUACCACUACUUUAAAGUGGCAUUAUAAGAGAGUGACUCUCAAGCUGGUGGAAUUCUCACCGAUCCCAGUAUGACAAGUGGAAAAUUCCAGAAAGGUCUAUAACAACACCAUGGACAAAGAUCAGCACCUAAAUCUGACCAGCACACCACUAACUUCAGUGCACUCUUACUUGCAAGAACUUGGUUUAUGGUGUUUGAGCACAUUGCUUUUUAUUCACCAGCUCCAUGUGUAAAGACAAAACAGCUUUGUCACUUAUGCCAAGGUGUAAAAUAAAGGAAAUUUCCUUCUUUGUGUUUUGUAAUA